AAAUUCGCCUGCAUGAAGCCGGAAUUGCUAGUAAUGGCAGGUUAGCAUACUGCCGUGAAUACGUUCCCGGGCCUUGUACACACCGCCCGUCACACCAUGAGAGUUGGGGAUACCCAAAGCCCGUGAGCCAACUUUUUAAGAGGCAGCGGUCUAAGGUAGAAUCAAUGAUUGGGGUGAAGUCGUAACAAGGUACC
rnacentral:rRNA from 1 species